rnacentral:rRNA from 1 species
UACGAAGGGUGCAAGCGUUACUCGGAAUUACUGGGCGUAAAGCGUGCGUAGGUGGUGAGUUAAGUCUGUCGUGAAAGCCCCGGGCUCAACCUGGGAACCGCGCUUGAGACUGGAGAACUAGAGUUCGGGAGAGGAUGGUGGAAUUCCCAGUGUAGAGGUGAAAUUCGUAGAUAUUGGGAAGAACACCGAUGGCGAAGGCAGCCAUCUGGACCGACACUGACGCUGAGGCGCGAAAGCGUGGGGAGCAAACAGG